UCCAUCUGUUUUUUACUAUGAACGUUAGGUUUUGCGAUCUAAUUUUCCAAUUCUAGGUAUGUUAAUAUUCGAAAGAUCUUAGAUUUGGUGAAACCAAACUUGCUACUAACUGCAAUUUGUGAUUUUCUUCUUUGACUUUUGGGUAUUCUACUUUUGGCCGUGCAAAGUUUUUUAGCUUUGGUUAUUUUGGUUUAUUCUCGUUUUGGGAUCGAGCAAUCCGCUACUACUUAAUUGCAAUUGAGCUGAGGCCCAACUUUGCUGAUGCUUGGUCGAACUUGGCAAGUGCAUACAUGCGAAAGGGAAGACUCAGCGAGGCAACACAAUGCUGUCAGCAGGCCCUCUCAUUGAACCCACUUCUAGUUGACGCACAUAGUAAUCUCGGGAAUCUGAUGAAGGCUCAAGGAUUGAUUCAUGAAUGUCUGACUAUUUGGAGUUUCCAUCAUGGAGCGGUUUGUGAUACUCAUAAUCAUUUCCUCAAAAAAAGAAGCUUCCAGCUUUUGGAGUAGUGGGUUCCAAGCUCUGUGAGAAAGUUUGAAUCAUGCCAAGGACCUCAGAUCAGGAGAACAUUAACAUGAAUGAAGAGUCUUGUAUCCAUCAUUAUA